AGAGUUUGAUCAUGGCUCAGGAUGAACGCUAGCUACAGGCUUAACACAUGCAAGUCGAGGGGAAACGAUAUUGGAAGCUUGCUUCCGAUAGGCGUCGACCGGCGCACGGGUGAGUAACGCGUAUCCAACCUGCCCACCACUUGGGGAUAACCUUGCGAAAGUAAGACUAAUACCCCAAUGAUAUCUCUAGAAGACAUCUGAAAAGAGAUUAAAGAUUUAUCGGUGAUGGAUGGGGAUGCGUCUGAUUAGCUUGUUGGCGGGGUAACGGCCCACCAAGGCAACGAUCAGUAGGGGUUCUGAGAGGAAGGUCCCCCCACAUUGGAACUGAGACACGGUCCAAACUCCUACGGGAGGCAGCA
rnacentral:rRNA from 1 species